rnacentral:lncRNA from 1 species
UUUUCUUUUUCUGGUCCCCAUCAUAGAACUUUCAAAAAUAUGAAGCACCUGUUUUUUGGAUGUUCAAAUAAUCCAAAUAGUACAGUUGUCAAAAAUAUAUAUUUUUUGACUUUAUUUUUGCGCCCGGUAAAUCAUAUGGGGCUGUUUUUAAACCCUCAUCUAGAAUUUGAUUGUCAUAAAACAAUAGUGACAACACUGAUGACUGCUGUAAAGAUGUAUAAUAUUAUGAAAUAAUAUUGUAUAUAAUAUCUGGUAUGUAAUACCAGACUGUUUAUUAGUCAUUUCAAAUGAUGUGCGUUAAAGGUUUUGUACUGAAAGGUAUACUUACUGAAAAUGGAGGAUUUGGAUUCUGUGUCAACCUAAAAACCAUUUUAACUUGACUUACUUAUUCUUCCAGUUCUGUGUCAUUCCCUUUUAAAUAAAACGUUGUGUCUUGUACUU